UUAGUACUUCCUCCAUUUGAAAUUACUUAUCGCAAAAAUGAAUGUAUCUAGACAUAUUUUGGUUCUAGAUACAGCCAUUUUCGAGACAAGUAAUUUUGAACGGAGGGAGUAGAAG
rnacentral:pre_miRNA from 1 species